rnacentral:rRNA from 1 species
GACGGAGGAUGUAAGUGUUAUCCGGAAUCACUGGGCGUAAAGCGUCUGUAGGUGGUUUAAUAAGUCAACUGUUAAAUCUUGAGGCUCAACCUCAAAAUCGCAGUCGAAACUAUUAGGCUAGAGUAUAGUAGGGGUAAAGGGAAUCUCCAGUGGAGCGGUGAAAUGCGUAGAGAUUGGAAAGAACACCGAUGGCGAAGGCACUUUACUGGGCUAUUACUAACACUCAGAGACGAAAGCUAGGGGAGCAAACGGG